rnacentral:rRNA from 1 species
UACGGGGGGAGCAAGCGUUGUUCGGAUUUACUGGGCGUAAAGGGCGCGUAGGCGGCCAGCACAAGUCAGUUGUGAAAUCUCCGGGCUUAACUCGGAAAGGUCAACUGAUACUGUGCGGCUAGAGUGCAGAAGGGGCAACUGGAAUCCUCGGUGUAGCGGUGAAAUGCGUAGAUAUCGAGAGGAACACCUGCGGCGAAGGCGGGUUGCUGGGCUGACACUGACGCUGAUGCGCGAAAGCCAGGGGAGCGAACGGG